AGUGAACGCUGGCGGUAGGCCUAACACAUGCAAGUCGAACGGCAGCACAGUAAGAGCUUGCUCUUACGGGUGGCGAGUGGCGGACGGGUGAGGAAUACAUCGGAAUCUACUUUUUCGUGGGGGAUAGCGUGGGGAAGCUUACGCUAAUACCGCAUACUACCUACGGCUGAAAGCAGGGGAUCUUCGGACCUUGCGCGAUUGAAUGAGCCGAUGUCGGAUUAGCUAGUUGGCGGGGUAAAGGCUCACCAAGGCGACGAUCCGUAGCUGGUCUGAGAGGAUGAUCAGCCACACUGGAACUGAGACACGGUCCAGACUCCUACGGGAGGCAGCAGUGGGGAAUAUUGGACAAUGGGCGCAAGCCUGAUCCAGCCAUACCGCGUGGGUGAAGAAGGCCUUCGGGUUGUAAAGCCCUUUUGUUGGGAAAGAAAAGCAGCAGGUUAAUACCCCGCUGUUCUGACGGUACCCAAAGAAUAAGCACCGGCUAACUUCGUG
rnacentral:rRNA from 1 species